CUCUCCCUCUCCUCUCUCCAGGUUCUCUGCUGCCUCCUCCCUCGUCUUUCCAUCUCAUCCCAUUUCCUCCUUUGUGAAUCUGCCUUUUUCUCCCCCAGCCGAGGGCUCUCCCCUCCCACCAGCCUCCCCCUUCUGUGCCUUGUCUGCGCCCAGCCUCUCUGCCUAACCCCCGUCGCCCCCGCCCUGAGGGUUCCACUCUCACUCUGCCUCCCCAGUACCCUCAGUGCUGAGGUUUCCAAGUUCUGAGCAGGAGGUGGGAGUCCACCCAGGGGUCCUCCCGGGCUUUGUGGCAGGCCAGAGGCCCUGGGUGGAAGGACCUUUGUGACACCCAUUGUUUUCUCUUUCCUGUCUGCCCUGGACUCCGGACACUGCCUGGAGGAACCAGACCGGCCCCAGGCCCAGGAAGGAGGACACGAAGAACAAGCUCAGAGACAGCAAGUUGCCUAAAGACACACAGCAAGCAGCAUGGGGCACAUCAGCAGUGGAGAGGACGCACCAGCUCUUGUGUCACAGAGAAAAUAGGCACCCAGUGUUUCUGAGGACCAGCAUCUGCUAGGGCUGAGACUUCGUGGGAAUCCUGACCUUCCCAAAGGACCACCAGUGUCCCCUGCCCGGCACUUCCCUCGGUGGAGGGGGCCCACCUGGGCCCACACAAGGCCUAAGAGACAGUCUCAGUGCAAUCCCAUCUCCACCUAGUGGCAGAGGAGGGAACUGCAACCCAGCUGUAUUAGACAUGGGAAUGGUCCCCGUAAGAAGUGGACAGUGACUAGAAUGCAGGAUGGGGGCGGGGGGUGCUGGUGGGGAAGGAGAAAGGGAGAAUUUUCAAAAUUCUGUAAAAAUAAAAGAUAUUUUAUUCCUAGUCAAUACAUACAUAUACGUCAUAUACUCA